GACGAACGCUGGCGGCGUGCUUAACACAUGCAAGUCGAACGGAAAGGCCUCUUUCGGGGGGUACUCGAGUGGCGAACGGGUGAGUAACACGUGAGUAACCUGCCCUUGACUUUGGGAUAACUUCAGGAAACUGGGGCUAAUACCGGAUAGGAGCUCCUGCUGCAUGGUGGGGGUUGGAAAGUUUCGGCGGUUGGGGAUGGACUCGCGGCGUAUCCGCUUGUUGGUGGGGUAGUGGCUUACCAAGGCGUUGACGGGUAGCCGGCCUGAGAGGGUGACCGGCCACAUUGGGACUGAGAUACGGCCCAGACUCCUACGGGAGGCAGAAGUGGGGAAUAUUGCACAAUGGGUGGAAGCCUGAUGCAGCAACGCCGUGGGCGGGAUGACGGCCUUCGGGUUGUAAACCGCUUUCGCUCAUGACGAAGCUUUGUGUGACGGUAGUGGGUAAAGAAGCACCGGCUAACUACGUG
rnacentral:rRNA from 1 species